GAUGAACGCUGGCGGCGUGCCUAAUACAUGCAAGUCGAGCGAACGGACGAGAAGCUUGCUUCUCUGAUGUUAGCGGCGGACGGGUAAGUAACACGUGGAUAACCUACCUAUAAGACUGGGAUAACUUCGGGAAACCGGAGCUAAUACCGGAUAAUAUUUUGAACCGCAUGGUUCAAAAGUGAAAGACGGUCUUGCUGUCACUUAUAGAUGGAUCCGCGCUGCAUUAGCUAGUUGGUAAGGUAACGGCUUACCAAGGCAACGAUGCAUAGCCGACCUGAGAGGGUGAUCGGCCACACUGGAACUGAGACACGGUCCAGACUCCUACGGGAGGCAGAAGUACGGAAUCUUCCGCAAUGGGCGAAAGCCUGCAGGAGCAACGCAGCGUGGGUGAUGAAGGUCUUCGGAUCGUAGAACUCUGUUAUUAGGGAAGAACAUAUGUGUAAGUAACUGUGCACAUCUUGACGGUACCUAAUCAGAAAGCCACGGCUAACUACGUG
rnacentral:rRNA from 1 species